ACGUGAUGCGCCCGCGGUUUUGUUGAUUUGCUCGCGAUUUGUAAAAAAAAAUCUUUAUGUAAUUUACCCCUGUACCCCCUGUAGUAAGUGAUGUGUUGAGUUGAAAUUAUUGUUGAUGGUUGUUGUUAUAAAAUGUGAUUUGGCCAGACUACGUGAUGCGCCCGCGGUUUUGUUGAUAUGCUUGCGAUUUAUAAAAAAAAUAAAAUAUGUAUGUUAUCCCUGCACCCCUGUUGUUGGUUAUGUGUUGAGUUGAGUUGAAGUUAUUAAUGAUGGUUGUUGUUAUAAAAUAUGAUUUGCCCAGACUACGUGAUGCGCCCGCGGUUUUGUUGAUAUACUCGCGAUAUAUAAAAAAAAUAUGUAAGUUAUCCCUGCACCCCCUGUAGUUGGUUAUGUGUUGAGUUGAGUUGAAGUUAUUGAUGAUGGUUGUUGUUAUAAUAUGUGAUUUGGCCAGACUACGUGAUGCGCCCGCGGUUUUGUUGAUAUACUCGCGAUUUAUAAAAAAUCUUUAGGUAAGUUGUGUACUAUGAUUAUGUUUGAUAUGUUUAAUUAUGUAAAUAAUAAAUAAGAUUUUGAAAUGCCUGUAUUUGUUUGCUCUAAGACCUAUAUUUUUGUUUUUACAGAUCUACUUGCCAGGUUCUUUAAAUGUUUGGUUUUUUUGCCCCUAUUCUAAUGUUUUGUGUUUUUUUUUGUGUUUUUGGAAACCCCCUGGAAAGAAGAUGUUGGUGUUCUAGUUCUACAUUGUGGUGGAGACGUGAGGAUGUGGAUAGCUGUGUAUCAUUGGUUGGAAACUGGCAUGAUGGAGCAAUUAGACCAUGGAGGAGUGAUGAACCGGAAGUGGAUAAGACUAUCAGUUCUUCGAGAGUCCCAGUGCCUAUAUACUCGCAAGAAGGAUAUGGUAUGGAAUAGCUUAGUACAUCUAUGUGCUGGCAGAUUUGUACAACAAUAAGUUGUUCCAGUGUGAAGAAAGA